rnacentral:rRNA from 1 species
ACUCCUACGGGAGGCAGCAGUAGGGAAUCUUCCACAAUGGACGAAAGUCUGAUGGAGCAACGCCGCGUGAGUGAAGAAGGGUUUCGGCUCGUAAAACUCUGUUGUUAAAGAAAGAACAUAUCUGAGAGUAACUGUUCAGGUAUUGACGGUAUUUAACCAGAAGGCCACGGCUAACUACGUGCCAGCAGCCGCGGUAAUACGUAGGUGGCAAGCGUUGUCCGGAUUUAUUGGGGCGUAAAGCGAGCGCAGGCGGUUUUUAAGUCUGAUGUGAAAGCCUUCGGCUCAACCGAAGAAGUGCAUCGGAAACUGGGAAACUUGAGUGCAGAAGAGGACAGUGGAACUCCAUGUGUAGCGGUGAAAUGCGUAGAGAUCUGAAGGAAUACCAGUGGCGAAGGCGGCCCCCUGGACAAAGACUGACGCUCAGAUGCGAAAGCGUGGGGAGCAAACAGGAUUAGAUACCCUGGUAGGAUA